GACGAACGCUGGCGGCGUGCUUAACACAUGCAAGUCGAACGGAAAGGCCCCUUUGGGGGUACUCGAGUGGCGAACGGGUGCGUAACACGUGAGUAACCUGCCCUUGACUUCGGGAUAACUUCAGGAAACUGGGGCUAUUACCGGAUAGGAAUCCUUGCUGCAUGGUGGGGGUUGGAAAGCUUCGGCGGUUUUGGAUGGACUCGCGGCUUAUCAGCUUGUUGGUGGGGUAGUGGCUUACCAAGGCGUUGACGGGUAGCCGGCCUGAGAGGGCGACCGGCCACAUUGGGACUGAGAUACGGCCCAGACUCCUACGGGAGGCAGCAGUGGGGAAGAUUGCACAAUGGGCGGAAGCCUGAUGCAGCAACGCCGCGUGCGGGAUGACGGCCUUCGGGUUGUAAACCGCUUUCAGCAGGGGCGAAGCUUGUGGUGACGGUACCUGCAGAAGAAGCACCGGCUAACUACGUG
rnacentral:rRNA from 1 species